AUCUAGCUGACGAGUCGCAAAUAGGACGAAACGCGCGUCACACUGGAU
rnacentral:hammerhead_ribozyme from 1 species